rnacentral:rRNA from 1 species
GGAAGUAAAAGUCGUAACAAGGUCUCCGUUGGUGAACCAGCGGAGGGAUCAUUACCGAGUUUACAACUCCCAAACCCAAUGUGAACGUUACCAAACUGUUGCCUCGGCGGGAUCUCUGCCCCGGGUGCGUCGCAGCCCCGGACCAAGGCGCCCGCCGGAGGACCAACCUAAAACUCUUAUUGUAUACCCCCUCGCGGGUUUUUUUUAUAAUCUGAGCCUUCUCGGCGCCUCUCGUAGGCGUUUCGAAAAUGAAUCAAAACUUUCAACAACGGAUCUCUUGGUUCUGGCAUCGAUGAAGAACGCAGCGAAAUGCGAUAAGUAAUGUGAAUUGCAGAAUUCAGUGAAUCAUCGAAUCUUUGAACGCACAUUGCGCCCGCCAGUAUUCUGGCGGGCAUGCCUGUCCGAGCGUCAUUUCAACCCUCGAACCCCUCCGGGGGGUCGGCGUUGGGGAUCGGCCCUCCCUUAGCGGGUGGCCGUCUCCGAAAUACAGUGGCGGUCUCGCCGCAGCCUCUCCUGCGCAGUAGUUUGCACACUCGCAUCGGGAGCGCGGCGCGUCCACAGCCGUUAAACACCCAACUUCUGAAAUGUUGACCUCGGAUCAGGUAGGAAUACCCGCUGAACUUAAGCAUAUCAAUAAGCGGAGGA